GAUGAACGCUGGCGGCGUGCCUAAUACAUGCAAGUCGAGCGAACAGAUAAGGAGCUUGCUCCUUUGACGUUAGCGGCGGACGGGUGAGUAACACGUGGAUAACCUACCUAUAAGACUGGGAUAACUUCGGGAAACCGGAGCUAAUACCGGAUAACAUAUUGAACCGCAUGGUUCAAUAGUGAAAGGCGGCUUUGCUGUCACUUAUAGAUGGAUCCGCGCCGUAUUAGCUAGUUGGUAAGGUAACGGCUUACCAAGGCAACGAUACGUAGCCGACCUGAGAGGGGGAUCGGCCAACCUGAACCGAGGAACGGUCCCAGACCCCCACGGAGGCAGCAGUGGGGAAUUUUUCCCCAUGGGGGCAAGCCCGGACGAGCCACCGCCCGGUGGUGAAGAAAGGUUUUGGGUUCUUAAACCCUUUUUUUCGGGAAAAAAAGAAGCUGGAAAUAACUGUGCUCUUCUGACGGGUCCCAAAGCAGAAAGCCCCGCCUACCUCGUG
rnacentral:rRNA from 1 species